CCACCAGCCAGCCUUUUCCUCUUGCAAGUUCCCUCUCUCUCACUAGAGAGAGAGAGCUGUUUUUCUUUCUCUUUCUUUUGUCUAUUAAACCCCUGCUCCUAAACUCGUGUGUGUCCGUGUCCUAAACUCUCCUGGCACCAGAAGAACCCUGAUUAUUUACCCAGACAACUGUAGCUGCUUCAAAGGCUCCAGCCCACUGAAAUCUGCAGCCACACUCACUACUCCUAUAAAACUGCUGGUUUUGAAAAUCAUCAAUGAGACUCCAAUGGUGCAAAUAGAAUCAAAAGUUCCUGAUAUAGAAUAAGCAAAUGAUGGAAGAAGCCAAGUUUCCUGAGUGGCCACUAGGAAAACUCUGUCUUCUUUAUCAAAACUAUGAGGUAUGUGUCCUCCAAAUUCUUAUGUUGGAACUUCAGCCCCAAAGUGAUUGUAUUAGAAGGUGAAACAUUUAAGAGAUGAUUAAGUCAUAAGGGCUCUGACCUUCUGAGUGGGAUUAAUGUUCUUAUAAAAGGGCUGGCGAGAACUAGCUAUGCCUUUUUGCCCUUCUGCCAUGUGAGGACACAGCAACAAGGAGCUGUCUAAAAAGCUGAGACGGAGCCUUCACCAGACACUGAAUCUGCCGGCGACUUGAUCUUGGAUUUCCCAGCCUCAAGAACUGUGAAAAUAAACUUCUGUUGCUUAUAAAUUACUCCGUCUGUGGUAUGUUGUUAUAGCAGCAGGGAUGGACUAAGAAACUCUCUCUUUAUAUAAACAAUUACUUGUGGAGAAGUCUGUAUAAUUACAGAGUAAAAUCUUUAAAAUCUCAUGGGUUUAUAAGUAGCCUUACCUGCUGUCUUAAAUUCAAGAUUCCCACAUUUGCACCUCUUUAGUAUAUAGAAUAUAGACUAUAAAAAUAGUCUUGGCUAUCUAAGGCUAGUGGCCAACUGUCUAUUGCAGAGAAAGAGUGAGAAAUUUAAUAUAAAUAUUCAUUCUUACAUAUCCACUUCCUAGGCUAAUUAUCUAUUUAAGAAACUUUGCCUUAUUGCUACACACAUACAUUUAUAAAUAAAAGUACUUCUGCAUUUUUCAAAUAUAAAUUAGUUUUUUAAGACUUGCGUGCAUACCUAAAAGCAUAUGCACCAGAUAUGUCCAUAUAAGCACAAUUCCAAUCAAAGAAAAAGACUGUACUUAAACCAACAGUAAGGCCUUAAAUCAACUAGGAAAUCCAAUUCAAUCAUAUUUCAGGGUUUAUCAUUUCAGUCAUACAAACUUUAUCCUGGACAAAAACUGAUGUGGGAUGUGUGUGUGUGUAGUUCUAAAUAUUGUAAGCAAAUUUAUUUAAAUGAGCUCAUCUGGAAAUACUGAGUUCUAUGUAAUACAUUUCUUUGUAUUGAACACAAUUGAUUUCUGUGUGUCAAAACAAUGAAAGUGGGUCAUUAAAGCAAUUAUUGUUACUGUGUAAUUUUACUACAUAAAUUACCAAAUAAAUAAUAUUAUUGCAGAAAAACACAAGCUUACUAUCUUUUUACUUAUUUUCAAGUGAAAAGAUGGAAGAGCUAUUCCUAUGUCCUGAAAAGUCCAUAUAUUAGUUGAACAUGCUGAUAUCUGAUUCAUGAAAUCUCCAUUGCUUCAGUACCAUAGAUGUGAAAUGAUUUUAAAGCAUAUUCACAUUUGUCAUCCUAUGUUUUUAUAUUUAAUAAUUUUACUCUAAUUUUACAGUUACUGAAACUGUUACAUAGCUGUGCUGUUCUAUAUCUGGACAUGCUGUGUAUAACAGUAUGUUAUUUUUACAGGUACCGGACUUUAUUCUCUAGAUCUUUUCAGGGGCAUGCAUAGCUCUUAAAGCACCCAUGCUCAUAUUCAAAUCUUCUAAUCUUUU
rnacentral:lncRNA from 1 species